rnacentral:tRNA from 1 species
GGGUGCGUAGCUCAGAGGGAGAGCGCUUCCUUCACACGGAAGAGGCCACAGGUUCGAUCCCUGUCGCACCCACCA